AAAGCAGGCUGCAAUUACAGUGCUUCAUUCCGUGGGAGUACUGCCAUUUUCCUGCUUUCUGAGAGUAACUCUGUUAACGCUGUCUUCGGUUUCACCGAUACGGUGGUGAAACUGUUUGUUCUUAACAUGUACAAGU
rnacentral:snoRNA from 1 species